GAUGAAGAACGCAGCGAAAUGCGAUAAGUAAUGUGAAUUGCAGAAUUCAGUGAAUCAUCGAAUCUUUGAACGCACAUUGCGCCCCCUGGUAUUCCGGGGGGCAUGCCUGUCCGAGCGUCAUUACAACCCUCAAGCUCAGCUUGGUGUUGGGCCCCGCCGCCCCGGCGGGCCCUAAAGUCAGUGGCGGUGCCGUCCGGCUCCGAGCGUAGUAAUUCUUCUCGCUCUGGAGGUCCGGUCGUGUGCUCGCCAGCAACCCCCAAUUUUUUUUCAGGUUGACCUCGGAUCAGGUAGGGAUACCCGCUGAACUUAAGCAUAUCAAUAAGCGGAGGA
rnacentral:misc_RNA from 1 species